rnacentral:rRNA from 1 species
GAUGAACGCUGGCGGCGUGCCUAAUACAUGCAAGUCGAGCGAACAGACGAGGAGCUUGCUCCUCUGACGUUAGCGGCGGACGGGUGAGUAACACGUGGAUAACCUACCUAUAAGACUGGGAUAACUUCGGGAAACCGGAGCUAAUACCGGAGAAUAUAUUGAACCGCAUGGGUCAAUAGUGAAAGACGGUUUUGCUGUAACUUAUAGAUGGAUCCGCGCCGCAUUAGCUAGUUGGUAAGGUAACGGGUUACCAAGGCAACGAUGCGUAGCCGACCUGAGAGGGUGAUCGGCCACACUGGAACUGAGACACGGUCCAGACUCCUACGGGAGGCAGCAGUAGGGAAUCUUCCGCAAUGGGCGAAAGCCUGACGCAGCAACGCCGCGUGAGUGAUGAAGGUCUUCGGAUCGUAAAACUCUGUUAUUAGGGAAGAACAAAUGUGUAAGUAAAUAUACACGUCUUGACGGUACCUGAUCAGAAAGCCACGGCUAACUACGUG